rnacentral:misc_RNA from 1 species
GGUGAAGAACGUAGCGAAAUGCGAUAAGUAAUGUGAAUUGCAGAAUUCAGUGAAUCAUCGAAUCUUUGAACGCACAUUGCGCCCGCCAGUAUUCUGGCGGGCAUGCCUGUUCGAGCGUCAUUUCAACCAUCAAGCCCCGGGCUUGUGUUGGGGACCUGCGGCUGCCGCAGGCCCUGAAAUGCAGUGGCGGGCUCGCUGUCACUCCGAGCGUAGUAGUUACAUCUCGCUCUGGGCGUGCUGCGGGUUCCGGCCGUUAAAAGCCUUAUUUACCCAAGGUUGACCUCGGAUCAGGUAGGAAGACCCGCUGAACUUAAGCAUAUCAAUAAGCGGAGGA